rnacentral:rRNA from 1 species
GGGCGGAAGCCUGACGCAGCGACGCCGCGUGGGGGAUGACGGCCUUCGGGUUGUAAACCUCUUUCGCCAGGGACGAAGCUUUAUUGUGACGGUACCUGGAUAAGAAGCACCGGCCAACUACGUGCCAGCAGCCGCGGUAACACGUAGGGUGCGAGCGUUGUCCGGAAUUAUUGGGCGUAAAGAGCUCGUAGGCGGUGUGUCACGUCGGCCGUGAAAACUUGGGGCUUAACUCUGAGCGUGCGGUCGAUACGGGCAUCACUUGAGUUCGGCAGGGGAGACUGGAAUUCCUGGUGUAGCGAUGAAAUGCGCAGAUAUCAGGAGGAACACCGGUGGCGAAGGCGGGUCUCUGGGCCGAUACUGACGCUGAGGAGCGAAAGCGUGGGGAGCGAACAGGAUUAGAUACCCUGGUAGUCCACGCCGUAAACGUUGGGCGCUAGGUGUGGGGACCAUUCCACGGUUUCUGUGCCGCAGCUAACGCAUUAAGCGCCCCGCCUGGGGAGUACGGCCGCAAGGCUAAAACU